GUAGCAAUACAUUGCUGGCGACCGGCGCACGGGUGAGUAACACGUAUCCAACCUGCCUUUUACUCGGGGAUAGGCUUUCGAAAGAGAGAUUAAUACCCGAUGGUAUAAUAUUUCCGCAUGGGAUUAUUAUUAAAGAAUUUCGGUAAAAGAUGGGGAUGCGUUCCAUUAGGCAGUUGGCGGGGUAACGGCCCACCAAACCUUCGAUGGAUAGGGGUUCUGAGAGGAAGGUCCCCCACAUUGGAACUGAGACACGGUCCAAACUCCUACGGGAGGCAGCAGUGAGGAAUAUUGGUCAAUGGGCGGAAGCCUGAACCAGCCAAGUAGCGUGAAGGAUGACUGCCCUAUGGGUUGUAAACUUCUUUUAUAGGGGAAUAAAAUGAGCCACGUGUGGCUUUUUGUAUGUACCCUAUGAAUAAGGAUCGGCUAACUCCGUGCCAGCAGCCGCGGUAAUACGGAGGAUCCGAGCGUUAUCCGGAUUUAUUGGGUUUAAAGGGAGCGUAGGUGGACAUGUAAGUCAGUUGUGAAAGUUUGCGGCUCAACCGUAAAAUUGCAGUUGAUACUGUGUGUCUUGAGUACAGUAGAGGUGGGCGGAAU
rnacentral:rRNA from 1 species